rnacentral:rRNA from 1 species
UACGUAGGGGGCAAGCGUUGUCCGGAAUCAUUGGGCGUAAAGAGCGUGUAGGCGGCCCGGUAAGUCCGCUGUGAAAGUCCAGGGCUCAACCCUGGGAUGCCGGUGGAUACUGUCGGGCUCGAGUCCGGAAGAGGAGUGUGGAAUUCCUGGUGUAGCGGUGAAAUGCGCAGAUAUCAGGAGGAACGCCAAUGGCGAAGGCAGCACUCUGGGACGUGACUGACGCUGAGACGCGAAAGCGUGGGGAGCAAACAGG